GACGAACGCUGGCGGCGUGCUUAACACAUGCAAGUCGAACGGAAAGGCCCUGCUUUUGUGGGGUGCUCGAGUGGCGAACGGGUGAGUAACACGUGAGUAACCUGCCCUUGACUUUGGGAUAACUUCAGGAAACUGGGGCUAAUACCGGAUAGGAGCUCCUGCUGCAUGGUGGGGGUUGGAAAGUUUCGGCGGUUGGGGAUGGACUCGCGGCUUAUCAGCUUGUUGGUGGGGUAGUGGCUUACCAAGGCUUUGACGGGUAGCCGGCCUGAGAGGGUGACCGGCCACAUUGGGACUGAGAUACGGCCCAGAGUCCUACGGGAGGCAGCAGUGGGGAAUAUUGCACAAUGGGCGGAAGCCUGAUGCAGCAACGCCGCGUGCGUGAUGACGGCCUUCGGGUUGUAAACCGCUUUCGCCUGUGACGAAGCGUGAGUGACGGUAAUGGGUAAAGAAGCACCGGCUAACUACGUG
rnacentral:rRNA from 1 species